CAAUAAUAAAAAAAUUAUUCUUUCUCCAAUUUCAACAUGGUAUCAGAGCAUCUAUCUUAAACCUAAUUUUCUUUUCUCCUUCGUUCUUUCUUCGCCGCCGCACGCCCAUCCGGUUUCUCUUCUCCAUCUCCGGGAGCUUGUAUCAGUUAAGUCUCUCAGAUUCUUCACUGCCCCUCUGCACUGCGAAUCUGCAAGUUGCCGACGCCAGUCACGCCACGCUGAGUCUCUGUCUCUCGACUCCCUUUUUUUUUUUUUUUUCUUUUUUCAGCAUCUCUCGGAGUUGUUUCAGUCCGGUUGUCUUCUCCGGCCAGACCCUUUUCGCUCGGCGUACGCUCAACCUCUCCGGCUUUCUCUUCUCGGCUGGUGUGUCUUCUGCAGCAGCUCCGGCGGUCUUUCUCUUCUUCUCUCGUCGUCGCCGAUUCGUCCUCGUCACUUGUCAUUGGCAGACUGCCUCUCUCAGGCUCUCAUCUUGUUUGUUGUGUCCGGCUGGUUCCUCCCCGACCCUCACAGUCAGCCCGGAAUUCUCUCGGCGUGCUCUCUCGCUCACUCCGGCGUUCCCUCAGCUUCUCCGGCUUUGCUCCCUUCUCUCUCUGAUUUCUUUCCCGGCCGACUUGCAGUCCCAGCUUCUCUGUUUUUUUUAUUCCCGGCUCCGGCUACAGCUACCCGAAUAGAGUCAUUGAAGACUCGCCGAGUACACAGCAUACCAGCACAGCUCCGGCGUAACCGCACGCAGCAGACCACCACAAUCAGCAGCAUACCAGCAGCCCCCAGACCCGCACACAGCAGAAUACUCACUACAAUAGCCCAUCUUCUUCGGCAGUUUUUUUGUUUUGAUUGACCAUCUCCGGUUUCGGCUUGCCUUCGUGGUCUCAACACUCCGACGGCACCUUCGGCUUCUCUACGCUCGAAGAUUAUUAAAUUGACUUAUCAACAAGGAGACUGAUUGGAAUGUGUGAAGUACGUGAUAGGCUUUACCACUGUAAACCCCCCUCCGCCUCAGUUUUCCACUCUCAACGUGUUUCUGACACCACUCUUUGGCACCAACGUCUCGGUCACCCUUCCAUUUCAUGGUUCGGGUGAGUGCCACAGGUUCUUUUUGGGAUCCCUGUUGUCGUAAUUCAAGAAAUCAGGUCCUCCACCAGAUCGAGCUUAGAGAGCUCAAGGUGUUUGUAGCAUUUUUGGGAUAUAGAAAAGAAAUAGUAUAUACUUAGCUGAUAUUUUGGGUUGUAUGGAAGUUGUUGACUUUUUGAGUCCGAUCCCUGUUUUGAUAAUGACAAACCACAAUAUCCCACUUGUGUAACUGAGUGUGAACAGGUUUAUAUUUCUGUUAGCACAAGUGAUGAUUGCAAAAUGGAAGUCGUAAAGAGCACUGAGAAAAAACACCAAUGGACAUAUUCCAUGGAGCAUUGAGGAGCAAAAGACACAAAGACUUUAUUUAUUUUCUGGGUUGUAAUAAUAAUUAGGGUUGAAUGUGCAUGCAUCUUACAUGAUUUAAAAUUGAAGCUCUACCUGACCUUAGAUUGACCAUAGGACCUCCAAAUAACAUGAAAAACUCUUUUCAUAAAAUGUCUAACUUAUACAAAGAUUUUUAAAUGAUUUUAAAGUUAAAAGAAGGCAAAAACUAAAUUUUUCAAAGGGGUCGGUCAACCGGCUAGUCGACCGAAUGUUAGAAAUGAGCAAUUUUCCCACUCAAUUAGAUCUCAUCUCAAACCAUGUUCAACAUGAAAAUUGUGGCAUUUUCCCAUAGCUUGAGUUUGAUACUAAGAACGUUCAAAUUGGAGUCACACAAAAAAAUUUAUGGCCAAAACACUGAAACGUGUCUAUAAGAGAAAAAAUCCCUUCAUGUUUCUUCCAUCUCAUUAAUGGGCAUUUUUCUCAAACCAAAACUCAUUAUCUUAAAUGUGUUCAACAUGAAAGUUGUGUAAUUUUCUCUUACCUUUCUAUUGAUAUCAAUAAAAUCCAAUUUAGAGUUGUAUAGAAAAAGUUAUGGCCAAAAAACUUAACAAUGUCCGUGUAGAAAAGUCGAGGCUGGUCGACCGAACCUUCACUACGGUCGACCGAAACUUGUGGAUUUCAAGCCUCGGUAGACCGUACCUUGAGCCUGGUUGACCGACCUUCUCGGGAAAGUAUCCCAACUACCAAAAAAUGGCUAGUUUUCAAAAUAAAAAUAUAUUUUAAGGUCCCAACGGUUAUAUAACGGUCACAAUGGGUUUUUGCCUAUAAAUACAAUCCCAAAACACUUGAAAAUUGUUGGAGAAUCUCUUUGUUAAUUUAGUUUAUCAUUCUUUGAUUCUCCCACACUUCUAUGCCCCAUUUGUUCUUUAAAUUCUCAUUUUUAUCCUACUCUUCUUUUAUUUGAAAAUCAUUUUGGGAGAAAAUACUUUUAAGUUUUUUUAUGUGAAGAGGCUUUAGCAUAUGUCAUGUACAUAUAUAUUGCUUGAUGGCCUUGUUUUUUCAUUUGUGAUAUAUUUUCGAAGAUUAAAAUGUCUCAUAUUCUCUUCUUUUGAAAACCAUUUUUGGGGAAAAUAUUUUUGGAGUUAUUUUUGAAGAGGCUUGAGCAUAUAACAUUCUCUAUAUGUAUAUUGCUUGAAGGUCUUUCUAUUUUUCAUGUUUUCAAAGAUUAAAUUUCUCCCAUAUUCUUUUAUUUGGAAAAAUAUUUUUUGGACAAAUUUAUUGUGAAUAAUGCCUUGAAGGCUUGGACUAAUAUUCUUGUUCAUAUAUUUUGUUUGAAUGUCUUCUUGGGAUUAAUUUAACUAAGGUAAAUCAUUUUGAAGAAAACCCUAAUAUUCUCCUACUCUUAUCUUGAAAUACAUUUGUUGGAGAAUUUCUUUGGGUUAUAUAAGAAGGAACCUUGAGCAUAUAUCAAUUUAAUAUAUACUUGCUUGAGAGGCUUCUCCUUUUAUUUUAUAAAGGUCAAUCAUUUUAGAAAAGAAAAUCAUUUUCCAAACUCUCAAGUUUUACUUAAAAAAUAUUUUGAGAGAAAACUCAUACUCUACAUGAGCUCCAUUUCAAAAUCAUAUGAGAAUGCAUAUUAGAUUUUAAUGUUGUACAUCCCCGCUUAGUUUAGAAGCAUAUUUUAUGUAUAAAAUGAUUUUCAUGUAACGGUUCGGUUUAGCCCAUUAAUUGAAUUGGGGAGUCUUAGCCUCGCA